CUGAGCGAAAAGAAAAAUUAUUUUAAAUUUGUAAAUUGAGAAAUUCACUGUUCUAGAAUAGUAAAUUAUUUAUUGUAGCAGCUGACGAUGGCAGAUAGCUGAAAGUGCUUCUGAAAUUAAAGUUCUUUUUCAGAACUUAUUAUAAACAGAGAUAAAGACCACAAAACUAGGAAACUAAGCACCGCAUAUAAGGCACAGAUCACAUACACCAGAAAAUGGAUGGAAGAUAAUUCCAUCAUAUGCACUAAGGAUGACAAGACUAAGAAGAUAGCCCUUGUAAAGAAAGAAGAUUACACAAACCUCCUGCUUUCAUUUGUAGCACAGUCGAACUCAGAAUGGUUACUGCACGAUCUGACGGACACAAUGCAUAACAAAACCAUGAGAAUACUGAAAUGCAAAGACUUCCCAAACAUAUGGAAAGUAAAACAAAUGACGAGUCCACAAGCCC
rnacentral:lncRNA from 1 species